GGUUGCUUCAGCGUCCUCACAACAGGAUGGCUGACUUCCCCAAGAGAGCAGCUCAAGAGAGAGCAAGGAGAAAGACACAACAUCUUUAAUGAUCUAUGCUUGGAAGCUAUAUGUUGCCACUUUUGCAAUAUCCUACAGAUCGCUUAGCUCCAUCCAACAUGGAAAGGGAUCAGACACGGGCAUCAUUGCCAGAUGAUAAUCCCUGAUGGUCAUCUUGGAUGCUGGCCACCACAGUUACAUUUGAGAAGGCUCUCGCCAGAUGCUGGUCUUGUGAUCUUGGACUUCCCAGCCUCCAGAACUGUUCUACUUGAAUCAUAGUUUCUUUGCUCCUGGGAGACCCCUGCUAUUCCCAGUGAUGCUGCGAACUGGGGUUCAAAGUGGGGUGGCCUGGUGAGGCCUAAAAUCCAUGUCCCGUGGAGAACUGCCUGCAUCCCUUACAGAACCUGCCACAUAUUUCUGCAGCUUCCAAGAGGAAGGCUGGAAUUUACUGAGCUUACUGAAGCCAAUUAUCCCAAGAGUAUGUGAUCCAGAAGCAAGAUAAAGAUCAAAAGGACUCAGCUGGGAUUUGGCCUUCUCCAAGUGGAAGGAAUAAAAUCUGCAAUUGGCUCUGAAAAUAAAAACCAAACAAAAUCUCAGGCAAUCAUAGACAUGGCUCUUUGCUAUUUAUGAGCUUUUCUUUCUUUCUUUUUUUUUUUAAUUUAAACAAAUGUUAAAAGAUUUUUGUGUGGACCUCAGAUUCCAGCUUUACACUGAAACUCAACAUUAGUGUCGAAGCACUUGCAGGCCAUAUGUGCUCCAGCGAGGGUUUGGGAAUGUUGGGUGGUGUUGGUGGGCACCCAUAAUUGCCACUUGCUAUCACGUGAAUGCCUUAGGCAUGACGGAUUGCCAGUGCCCCUCUGAGCAGUCACUUGGAAGCUUUGCCAAAAUAUAAAUAUGUAACAUGAACAGAGGGUGCGUGACUUUUUAACUGCAGUAGCCACCUUUCAGACACCUGAGGCUUUGGUGUCCUCAGUUCCAAAAGCCACACA
rnacentral:lncRNA from 10 species